AGUGUUGUGGCUCAGUAGUAAAGCACUCUCCUCGAAUGUGUGAGGCACUGGGUUCAAUUCUCAGCAUCGCAU
rnacentral:tRNA from 1 species